rnacentral:rRNA from 1 species
CCUACGGGAGGCAGCAGUGAGGAAUAUUGGUCAAUGGCCGGGAGGCUGAACCAGCCAAGUCGCGUGAGGGAAGACGGCCCUACGGGUUGUAAACCUCUUUUGUCAGGGAGUAAGGUGCAGGUCGGGACCUGCUGUGAGAGUACCUGAAGAAAAAGCAUCGGCUAACUCCGUGCCAGCAGCCGCGGUAAUACGGAGGAUGCGAGCGUUAUCCGGAUUUAUUGGGUUUAAAGGGUGCGCAGGCGGAGGCACAAGUCAGCGGUAAAAUCGCGGGGCUCAACCCCGCUCCGCCGUUGAAACUGGGUGCCUUGAGUGCGCGAAGGGUAGGCGGAAUGCGUGGUGUAGCGGUGAAAUGCAUAGAUAUCACGCAGAACUCCGAUCGCGAAGGCAGCCUACCGGCGCGCAACUGACGCUGAUGCACGAAAGCGUGGGUAUCGAACAGGAUUAGAUACCCCUGUAGUC